AAUAUCCGUUCAUGUGACCCGUGGACUUCCCUUUGUCAUCCUAUGCCUGAGAAUAUAUGAAGGGGGCUGGGAAGGCAAAGGGACGUUCAACUGUCAUCACUGGC
rnacentral:pre_miRNA from 15 species